rnacentral:lncRNA from 1 species
GACCUAUCCGAAAGAAUGCUAGCCGGUGGAAACGUUGCGGUCCGACGGCAUCGCCGGAGUAGCUAUCGACGUCGACAACAGAGUUGCUGUGAGGGAGCUGCGAACCAGAGACAAUAACGAUCUUCUCGGGUGGGAGCUGUAGAGGAGAGGAGCUUUCCUCCUCGAGCUACGGGAUUUUAUUUUCUUUUAAUUUUAAAUUUUCUUUUUUCAGAAAUCCAAUUGAAUUGAUUUGGUUUCAAUUGAAUUGAAUUAAUGAAACCAGACCGAAACCCACACCAAAC